AUCAGCUGUUACCACAUCCUCCUCCUGGCCUGCCCUCCUCCAUCCCCUUAUCCCCACCCCACCCCCCACUCUACCUCCGCCCCAACCCUCCUGGGUCUUCAGGAAAGAGAGGAGAUGGAACCCCAAAUAUGGGGGACCUGCUUCAGGCGUGCUAAUGUGGAGCCUCCCAGAGACUGCAAGUGGAAUGCACUGAUCCCAGAAACCAGAGGCUUUGGCUAGGAAGUCCUGCAGGAAGACCCAGCUCUUACCAGCUCUGAACUUGAAGAUGCUCAACAUCUCUGCACCUCAAUUUCCUCAUCCACAAAAUAGAGUGAAUAAUAAAUUCAGAGUUUAUUGUAGGGAUUAAAAAAGGAUUAUGUUGUUUUUAUUAAAAAUUUUUAAAAUGUUUAUUUUUGAGAGAGAGAGAGAGAGAGAGAGAGAGAGCACUUGAGGGGGGAGGAGCAGAAAGAGAGGA